GACGAACGCUGGCGGCGCGCCUAACACAUGCAAGUUGAACGAGCGAGAGAGAGCUUGCUUUCUCGAGCGAGUGGCGAACGGGUGAGUAACGCGUGAGGAACCUGCCUCAAAGAGGGGGACAACAGUUGGAAACGACUGCUAAUACCGCAUAAGCCCACGGCUCGGCAUCGAGCAGAGGGAAAAGGAGCAAUCCGCUUUGGGAUGGCCUCGCGUCCGAUUAGCUAGUUGGUGAGGUAACGGCCCACCAAGGCGACGAUCGGUAGCCGGACUGAGAGGUUGAACGGCCACAUUGGGACUGAGACACGGCCCACACUCCUACGGGAGGCAGCAGUGGGGAAUAUUGCACAAUGGGGGAAACCCUGAUGCAGCGACGCCGCGUGGAGGAAGAAGGUCUUCGGAUUGUAAACUCCUGUUGUUGGGGAAGAUAAUGACGGUACCCAACAAGGAAGUGACGGCUAACUACGUGCCAGCAGCCGCGGUAAAACGUAGGUCACAAGCGUUGUCCGGAAUUACUGGGUGUAAAGGGAGCGCAGGCGGGAAGACAAGUUGGAAGUGAAAUCUAUGGGCUCAACCCAUAAACUGCUUUCAAAACUGUUUUUCUUGAGUAGUGCAGAGGUAGGCGGAAUUCCCGGUGUAGCGGUGGAAUGCGUAGAUAUCGGGAGGAACACCAGUGGCGAAGGCGGCCUACUGGGCACCAACUGACGCUGAGGCUCGAAAGUGUGGGUAGCAAACAGGAUUAGAUACCCUGGUAGUCCACACCGUAAACGAUGAUUACUAGGUGUUGGAGGAUUGACCCCUUCAGUGCCGCAGUUAACACAAUAAGUAAUCCACCUGGGGAGUACGACCGCAAGGUUGAAACUCAAAGGAAUUGACGGGGGCCCGCACAAGCAGUGGAGUAUGUGGUUUAAUUCGACGCAACGCGAAGAACCUUACCAAGUCUUGACAUCCCUUGACAGACAUAGAAAUAUGUAAUCUCUUCGGAGCAAGGAGACAGGUGGUGCAUGGUUGUCGUCAGCUCGUGUCGUGAGAUGUUGGGUUAAGUCCCGCAACGAGCGCAACCCUUAUGGUCAGUUACUACGCAAGAGGACUCUGGCCAGACUGCCGUUGACAAAACGGAGGAAGGUGGGGAUGACGUCAAAUCAUCAUGCCCUUUAUGACUUGGGCUACACACGUACUACAAUGGCGUUAAACAAAGAGAAGCAAGACCGCGAGGUGGAGCAAAACUCAGAAACAACGUCCCAGUUCGGACUGCAGGCUGCAACUCGCCUGCACGAAGUCGGAAUUGCUAGUAAUCGUGGAUCAGCAUGCCACGGUGAAUACGUUCCCGGGCCUUGCACA
rnacentral:rRNA from 1 species